GGUAACAACUUCAGCAUUGGUGGAACACACUGUUCUAAUUGUGGAUAGCAGGGUCACUGGAAAAAUGAGUGCCCAAACCCACCCCCACAGAUUCCUCAAUACCAACCAUAGCUUCCAACCUAUACCCACACCCAACAACCCCAGCCUAAUACACAGAUGGUUCAUGUUUGUAAUAUUUUAUAUAGUUUUAGGUGUUAAUCCAAGAGUACUGAAUUAUUCGGGAUUAUUAAAGUAAUUAAUUUUGAAUAUCAAAUCAAGGUUCCAGUUUAGGAACAGAGUUUUAUUGGGAAUUAUCCCCAUAUGUAUAUGUUAGUGUUUUAAUAUUCAUCCUAACAAGGAUUUCUAUAGAGUGAGUGCUACUCUCAUCCGUACAAAGGCAUUCCAAAGGGGUAUUAUGUAAAACUUCAGAGAAGACAGAUUGCAUAAAAUUUAACAGAAGUACAUGUUACACAAAUUAAGGGUUUAACCUUAAUCUUUAAUUUAAGUUUUAGCCUAGGUAAUUAAUUAAUUAAUGUUGUAUUGAUCCUUGUGUUUGUAUGAUUGUAGAGACCGUCCUGGAGUGUUUGUGCCGCCUGAUUUCUGGGACUACACACCAAUCUCUCUGGCUGACCAUGCAAUAAGUAUUUUGCAAUUACAUCUGUUUGGUCAUUAUCCAUGCAGGCCGAAGAAACUGAGAUACUUAUUUAUGAGGACAUAAACUUUGCACGCAAGAACCUGGAAAGUCCUGAAGGUGCAGUGCUGUCUAAUACCGCUGGUUCUGUAAUAACCCUUUCAACCAUUGGGGUGUUGCACAGAGCUUUGUGGUGAAAAUCCAGCAAACAAAAGAAGAACUAUGUGGAAGCUGACAUUGUCUUGUUGUCAGCCAUAUUGCUACCCUUAGCCAUUUUUAUGGAACAAAAUGUCUGGUGUCUAAACUGAUUUCUUUAUACUCUGUGAAAGACUUAUUCUAUUUUUCUGAACUAUGCUGAACUAUUGAACUAUUUUUAUUUUUAUUUUUGUAGAGUUAGCCAGAGAGAGAGGAAGUGUUAGCUGACCCAGGGACGGAUGUACUAUGUGUGUUUUUGAUAUAUGUUGAGUGUGCCAGGGAUGGAUUCCCAUGUUUUGAGGAACUGCGUGAGGAUAUGACUGGUUUUGACUGGACUUUUGGAAUAGGGAAAUGGUUAAAAGAUAUAGGACGCAAGGUCCUGGUUGUGCAAUAAUAUAGUUGCUAUAAGCCCAAGUUCCAUUCUGUCUUAAACAUCCAUUUUCUAUAUAUCUGUCUGCAAAAGUAUUAAGUGUUUUUUGUUUUGUUUUUUUUCUGCUGAGUUUCUGUUUCUUG